rnacentral:rRNA from 1 species
ACCUCAAAGAUUAAGCCAUGCAUGUCUAAGUAUAAGCAAUUAUACCGUGAAACUGCGAAUGGCUCAUUAAAUCAGUUAUCGNUUUAUUUGAUAGUACCUUACUACUUGGAUAACCGUGGUAAUUCUAGAGCUAAUACAUGCUAAAAACCCCGACUUCGGGAGGGGUGUAUUUAUUAGAUAAAAAACCAAUGCCCUCCGGGGCUCUUUGGUGAUUCAUGAUAACUUAACGGAUCGCAUGGCCUUGCGCCGGCGACGGUUCAUUCAAAUUUCUGCCCUAUCAACUUUCGAUGGUAAGGUAUUGGCUUACCAUGGUUUCAACGGGUAACGGGGAAUUAGGGUUCGAUUCCGGAGAGGGAGCCUGAGAAACGGCUACCACAUCCAAGGAAGGCAGCAGGCGCGCNAAAUUACCCAAUCCCGACACGGGGAGGUAGUGACAAUAAAUACUGAUACAGGGCUCUUUCGGGUCUUGUAAUUGGAAUGAGUACAAUUUAAACCCCUUAACGAGGAACAAUUGGAGGGCAAGUCUGGUGCCAGCAGCCGCGGUAAUUCCAGCUCCAAUAGCGUAUAUUAAAGUUGUUGCAGUUAAAAAGCUCGUAGUUGAACCUUGGGCCUGGCUGGCCGGUCCGCCUCACCGCGUGUACUGGUUCGGCCGGGCCUUUCCUUCUGGAGAACCUCAUGCCCUUCACUGGGUGUGCUGGGGAACCAGGACUUUUACUUUGAAAAAAUUAGAGUGUUCAAAGCAGGCCUUUGCUCGAAUACAUUAGCAUGGAAUAAUAGAAUAGGACGUGCGAUCCUAUUUUGUUGGUUUCUAGGACCGCCGUAAUGAUUAAUAGGGAUAGUCGGGGGCAUCAGUAUUCAAUUGUCAGAGGUGAAAUUCUUGGAUUUAUUGAAGACUAACUACUGCGAAAGCAUUUGCCAAGGAUGUUUUCAUUAAUCAGUGAACGAAAGUUAGGGGAUCGAAGACGAUCAGAUACCGUCGUAGUCUUAACCGUAAACUAUGCCGACUAGGGAUCGGGCGGUGUUACUACUUUGACCCGCUCGGCACCUUACGAGAAAUCAAAGUUUUUGGGUUCUGGGGGNAGUAUGGUCGCAAGGCUGAAAUUAAA